rnacentral:rRNA from 1 species
AUGACAGAGUCGCUGCUUCUCCCUCUAGUGCGCGGCGUCGCCAGCAAGGCUGCAGACGCACUUAUUGAGACCGUGACCCGCAUGUGUGGCCUCGACGACGACCGCCGAACGCUGGAGCGCCAUCUACUAGCCGUUGAGUGCAAGUUGGCGAAUGCCGAGGAGAGGAGUGAGACAAACGGGUAUGUCAAGAGCUGGAUGAAGGAGCUCAAGUCUAUCGCCUACGAGGCCGACGACGUGCUUGACGACAUACCAUAUGAGGCGCUGCGCCGCCAGUCUAAGAUUGGCAACUCCACUACCCGCAAGGUACUUGGCUACAUCAGACGCCACAGCCCGUUGCUCUUUCGUUUUGAAAUGAGCAGGAAACUCAAGAACGUCCUCAAGAAGAUCAAUAAGUUGGUUAAGGAGAUGAACACAUUUGACUUGGAGAGUUCUGUCCGUAAGGAGCGGCAACAUCCUUGGAGGCAAACACACUCAAAACUGGAUGACACUAAGGAAAUCUUUGGAAGAGAUGAUGAUAAGAAGGUGGUGGUGAAGUUGCUGCUGAACCAGCAAGAUCAGCGGAAUGUGCAGGUGCUCCCCAUCUUUGGGAUGGGAGGUCUUGGCAAGACAACUCUUGCUAAGAUGGUGUAUAAUGACCAACAGAUCCAGAAACAUUUCCAUUUAAAGAUGUGGCACUGCGUGUCUGACAACUUUAAUGUCAUUGCUCUUUUGAAAUCCAUCAUUGAGUUGGCCGGGAAUAAAAGAUGUGACAUGCCUGACACCAUUGAGCUGUUGCGAAAGCAACUUGAGGAAGUCAUUGGCCAAAACAGGUUUAUGCUCAUGCUUGAUGAUGUGUGGAAUGAGAACGAGAGGAUGUGGGAGGAUGAUCUGAAGCCUCUUUUGUGUUCUGUUGGUGGACCAGGAAGCAUAAUAGUAGUCACAACUCGAAGACAUAAAGUGGCCUCUAUAAUGCAGACCCUUCGACCCCUCAAGCUAGAAUGUCUGAGUGUACAAGAUUCAUGGGAGUUGUUUGCACAUAAAGCAUUUAGCAAUGGUGUAGAGGAGCAAGCAGAGUUAGUCAGCAUCGGAAGGCGUAUUGUCAAUAAAUGCGGGGGGGGUUGCUUCUUGCUCUCAAGACAAUAA